GUUUGAUCCUGGCUCAGACGCUCAAGUUUUUCACUCAUGAUGGUCAAUGCUCAGCGAUCAGCGCGCGAUGGUGCAUUCGCGCUUGAUCUUGUUCUGAAGUUGAACGAUGCCGUAAAGCAGCGCUUCUGCGGUCGGGGGACAACCAGGCACAUACACAUCCACCGGCACGAUCCGGUCACAACCACGAACCACCGAGUAGGAAUAGUGGUAAUAGCCCCCGCCGUUGGCGCAGGAACCCAUGGAAAUGACCCAGCGCGGCCCAGACAUCUGGUCAUAGACCCUUGCGCAGCGCUGGCGCCAUCUUGUUGCACAGCGUGCCGGCAACAAUCAUCAGGUCAGACUGACCGGGGACUGGGCCUGAACACCACGCCAAACCGGUCAAGGUCGUAACAAGGUAGCCG
rnacentral:rRNA from 1 species